AGUAUAUUUUAGUGGGUGAUAGAAUGUGAAUAAUACAGUGUGUAUUAUUAUCCAUGUAGAUCUAUAGCAUUUUUCUGCCCCCCCCCCCCUCUUUUUUAUCUUGGGCACGAUGUAUAUAUUUACACAACCAGCAUGCAGUAAUUUUUCUUGGCUAUUUGCACAUUAACCGUCUGUCAUUUAACUUUCCUUGACCAUUUCCAUUACUGUGAUUGACUGAAUUUGACAUAGAUAACUUACUAGACAUAUAUCUGUAUGUGCGUGUUUUAAUAAUGAAAGAUGAAGGUAACGAACAGUGAUCAAUCUCAUAACUCCUAUAAGCAAUACAAAAUAGAGUGUUGGUCAAACACGGACCCCCGGACACACCAGAGGUGGGAUCAGGUGCCUAGGAGGAGUAACCAAUUGAAUUUGUUUUCAUGGAUUGAAAUUUGUAUAUAUAAAAUGCUUGGCGUUUGUUAAAAAAAUCAUUUAUUUUCCAUCCACUAUCUGAGAAAUGUUUGUGUAGAUUGCAUGAUGUGUUUGAAGGCAUACAACUUAAGAAAUCACUUUUUAAAAUUUUUGGAGGCCACAUUAGUCCAUGAUUCUGUAUGAAAAUCCCACAGAUAUGCUUGCAGCAUGGCAAGGUAGAUACGGCUAUGCAGGUUUAGGACACGAUAUGGUGGUACUUUAUAUAGCCUACAGAAACUAAUUUGCAGGACGGUCCUAUAUAUAGCCUACAUAAACUAAGCUGUAUGGUGUCUUGUACAUAGUCAAUGUCUAUUUACUCACUAAUGGACUACUCGUGGCCAUUAAGAAAAUGUUUGUAAAUGUAUGGACUUUUAAAAUUUGAAACUGUAUUAUUUGCCUGUAUAAGAAGAUGCAAGUAUUGUGUAUGUAAUAUAUUUCUUUGCAGAUGUUUUGUAUGGAAUGUGGUUCGAAGCUUGACGCAAAGUCAAAAUUUUGUGCUAAUUGUGGUACCAAAUGUACCAAGGUACCUUUGGCCUCUGAAGAAACAGAUCCUGGUGCAAAAGAAAGCUUAGCAAAAUUGAAGGAGAAGUAUGGUUUUGGGCAUGUUGGAAGAAAAUCGAAACUGGGGUCCAAAAAGAGAAAUUGUGAAAUAAAAGAAUUGUUAAUCCAUGUU